rnacentral:rRNA from 1 species
CCUACGGGAGGCAGCAGUGAGGAAUAUUGGUCAAUGGACGGAAGUCUGAACCAGCCAAGUAGCGUGAAGGAUGACUGCCCUAUGGAUUGUAAACUUCUUUUAUAUGGGAAUAAAAUGUUCCACGUGUGGGUUUUUGUAUGUACCAUAUGAAUAAGGAUCGGCUAACUCCGUGCCAGCAGCCGCGGUAAUACGGAGGAUCCGAGCGUUAUCCGGAUUUAUUGGGUUUAAAGGGUGCGUAGGUGGAUUGUUAAGUCAGUUGUGAAAGUUUGGGGCUCAACCGUAAAAUUGCAGUUGAAACUGGCAGUCUUGAGUACAGUAGAGGUGGGCGGAAUGCGCGGUGUAGCGGUGAAAUGCUUAGAUAUUACGAAGAACUCCGAUUGCGAAGGCAGUGUACUGGACGGCAACUGACACUGAGGCUCGAAAGUGUGGGUAUCAAACAGGAUUAGAUACCCGUGUAGUC